rnacentral:misc_RNA from 1 species
UUUAGGGAGACCUGCUCGAUUCUCACCGAAACCCAAACAUUAAUCGGGGGAAUCAGCUAUCCCAAGGUCGUUCGAGACUAGACAAUUUCUGGCUUUCAAACUCUUUGUUCGGUUCAGCAUCAUGUUGAUAAACAUGGAGGCUCACCUCUGGACCACGGAGAACAAAAACACAGCAACUUAUCUAAAGUCUUCUAUAAAUGUUAAAAACAAAAAAGACUGCUGGAUUUUAUUCAACAAUGAACCUUGAAAGCUGAAUAAAAAAAAAAAUCGAUGGAAAAACCUUUUAAAUCUAAGGUGUUUAAGAAGGCACCCAAAAAAAAACCCCAAAUUGUGGUCAACCUACGAAGGGCUGAGGGUGCAUACGAACGGAACUAAAACACAGCAACUUAUCUGAAGUCAUCUAUAAAUGUUAGAGACCAGAAAGACUGCUGGAUUUUAUUCAGCAAUGAACCUUGAAAACUGCAUAAAGAAAAGAAUCAAAGGGAAAACCUUUUAAAUCCAACGUGAUUUAGAAGGCAUCCAAAAAAGAAGCCCAAAUUGUGGUCAAGCUACAAAGGGCUGACGGUGGA